AUUGAACGCUGGCGGCAGGCCUAACACAUGCAAGUCGAACGGUAACAGGAAACAGCUUGCUGUUUCGCUGACGAGUGGCGGACGGGUGAGUAAUGUCUGGGAAACUGCCUGAUGGAGGGGGAUAACUACUGGAAACGGUAGCUAAUACCGCAUAACGUCGCAAGACCAAAGAGGGGGACCCUCGGGCCUCUUGCCAUCAGAUGUGCCCAGAUGGGAUUAGCUUGUUGGUGGGGUAACGGCUCACCAAGGCGACGAUCCCUAGCUGGUCUGAGAGGAUGACCAGCCACACUGGAACUGAGACACGGUCCAGGCUCCUACGGGAGGCAGCAGUGGGGAAUAUUGCACAAUGGGCGCAAGCCUGAUGCAGCCAUGCCGCGUGUAUGAAGAAGGCCUUCGGGUUGUAAAGUACUUUCAGUGGGGAGGAAGGGAGUAAAGUUAAUACCUUUGCUCAUUGACGUUACCCGCAGAAGAAGCACCGGCUAACUCCGUG
rnacentral:rRNA from 1 species